CCUACGGGAGGCUGCAGUGAGGAAUAUUGGUCAAUGGACGAGAGUCUGAACCAGCCAAGUAGCGUGAAGGAUGACUGCCCUAUGGGUUGUAAACUUCUUUUAUAUGGGAAUAAAAUGUUCCACGUGUGCCUUUUUGUAUGUACUUUAUGAAUAAGGAUCGGCUAACUCCGUGCCAGCAGCCGCGGUAAUACAGAGGAUCCGAGCGUUAUCGGUAUUUAUUGGGUUUAAAGGGAGCGUAGAUGGGUUGUUAAGUCAGUUGUGAAAGUUGGCGGCUCAACCGUAAAAGUGCAAUUGAUACUGGCAGUCAUGAGUACAGUUGAGGUAGGCGGAAUCCGAGGGGUAGCGGGGA
rnacentral:rRNA from 1 species